UACGGGGGGGGCAAGCGUUGUUCGGAAUUACUGGGCGUAAAGGGCGUGUAGGCGGGAAGGUAAGUCGGGCGUGAAAUCCCUGGGCUCAACCCAGGAACUGCACUCGAAACUACUUGUCUUGAGUGUCGGAGAGGAAAGCGGAAUUCCUGGUGUAGAGGUGAAAUUCGUAGAUAUCAGGAGGAACACCAGUGGCGAAGGCGGCUUUCUGGACGAUAACUGACGCUGAGACGCGAAAGCGUGGGGAGCAAACAGG
rnacentral:rRNA from 1 species